rnacentral:rRNA from 1 species
GAUGAACGCUGGCGGCGUGCCUAAUACAUGCAGGUCGAGCGAACAGACGAGGAGCUUGCUCCUCUGACGUUAGCGGCGGACGGGUGAGUAACACGUGGAUAACCUACCUAUAAGACUGGGAUAACUUCGGGAAACCGGAGCUAAUACCGGAUAACAUGUUGAACCGCAUGGUUCAACAGUGAAAGACGGUCUUGCUGUCACUUAUAGAUGGAUCCGCGCCGCAUUAGCUAGUUGGUAAGGUAACGGCUUACCAAGGCAACGAUGCGUAGCCGACCUGAGAGGGUGAUCGGCCACACUGGAACUGAGACACGGUCCAGACUCCUACGGGAGGCAGCAGUAGGGAAUCUUCCGCAAUGGGCGAAAUCCUGACGGAGCAACGCCGCGUGAGUGAAGAAGGUCUUCGGAUCGUAAAACUCUGUUAUUAGGGAAGAACAAAUGUGUAAGUAGCUAUGCACGUCUUGACGGUACCUAAUCAGAAAGCCACGGCUAACUACGUG